UUUGACCUCAAAUCAGGUAGGACUACCCGCUGAACUUAAGCAUAUCAAUAAGCGGAGGAAAAGAAACUAACAAGGAUUCCCCUAGUAACGGCGAGUGAAGAGGGAAAAGCUCAAAUUUGAAAUCUGGCAGUCUACGGCUGUCCGAGUUGUAAUCUAGAGAAGUGUUUUCCGUGCUGGACCGUGUACAAGUCCUUUGGAACAAGGCGUCAUAGAGGGUGAGAAUCCCGUCUACGACACGGACUACCAGUGCUCUGUGAUACACUCUCAACGAGUCGAGUUGUUUGGGAAUGCAGCUCAAAAUGGGUGGUAAAUUCCAUCUAAAGCUAAAUACAGGCGAAAGACCGAUAGCGAACAAGUACCGUGAGGGAAAGAUGAAAAGCACUUUGGAAAGAGAGUUAAACAGUACGUGAAAUUGUUGAAAGGGAAACGCUUGAAGUCAGUCGCGUCUUCAGAAAUUCAGCCUGGCUUCUGCCUGGUGUACUUUUCUGUUGGACGGGCCAGCAUCAGUUUUGGCCGCCAGAAAAAGGUGGGAGGAAGGUGGCACCUCCGGGUGUGUUAUAGCCUCUCAUCGUAUGUGGCGGCUGGGACUGAGGACCGCAGCACGCCUUUAAUGGCCGGGGUUCGCCCACGUAACGUGCUUAGGAUGCUGGCGUAAUGGCUUUAAACGACCCGUCUUGAAACACGGACCAAGGAGUCUAACAUGCCUGCGAGUAUUUGGGUGGUAAACCCAUAUGCGGAAUGAAAGUGAACAGUUGGGACUUCUGUCAUGGAAGGCACCGACGCCCGGACCAGACCUAUUGUGACGGAUCCGAGGUAGAGCAUGUAUGUUGGGACCCGAAAGAUGGUGAACUAUGCCUGAGUAGGGUGAAGCCAGAGGAAACUCUGGUGGAGGCUCGUAGCGAUUCUGACGUGCAAAUCGAUCGUCGAACUUGGGUAUAGGGGCGAAAGACUAAUCGAAC
rnacentral:rRNA from 1 species